rnacentral:rRNA from 1 species
UACGUAGGGGGCAAGCGUUGUUCGGAAUUACUGGGCGUAAAGGGCGCGUAGGCGGCACAGCAAGUCAGGCGUGAAAGCCCCGGGCUCAACCUGGGAACCGCGCUUGAGACUGGCACGCUAGAGUUCGGGAGAGGAUGGUGGAAUUCCCAGUGUAGAGGUGAAAUUCGUAGAUAUUGGGAAGAACACCGAUGGCGAAGGCAGCCAUCUGGACCGACACUGACGCUGAGGCGCGAAAGCGUGGGGAGCAAACAGG